GUGGCCUGGAUGGAACUGAUGCGCAGGCGGUUGGCUGUGUCCUUCAGGGCCUGCAGCUUCUGCUGGUCUGGCUUAUGCUUUUCAAAAACCCGGCUUCAUCUUUAGAGGAAACCCCGUGGCUGGAUUUCUAGCUGCUCAUCCAGGAAAGACAGGCUGGUUCUUGUAGCUCUGACAAACACAGAAGCCUCAGCAAUUUCUAACUCACACACUUACUCAAAGACCAGAUGCCUGGCACAUAUGACAGCUCAAUACACAUGAACUGAGUGAAUCUGAGAAGUGACCUGGACGGUUAAGUCCCCUGUAAAACAGUGUUUUUGGUCAUGAUUAGACCUGUACCCUCCAACUGGGGAAAACUCAGAGGAAUAAAUGGAGUUGUUUUGUUCUCUCACCUCACUCCCUCUCAGCAGUAGGAGGCUCUGGCAAAGUGUAGCAACACAUUCAA